UGGAGGGUGAUCUCUGAAGAAAACGGAGUGUAGCCUAAAAGAUGAGAGCUUUGAGUCUUGUAUUCCUGUUAACAGCCCUUCCUGGUAUCCUGUCUGAGGUGCAGCUUCAGGAGUCAGGUCCUGGCCUUGUGAAACCCUCUCAGACACUGUCGCUCACCUGCUCUGUCACUGGCUACUCCAUCACCAGUGGUUAUGAUUGGACUUGGAUACGGCAGUUCCCAGGAAAUAAGAUGGAGUGGAUGGGAUACAUAAGCUACAAUGGUGGCAAUAACUACAAUCCAUCUCUCAAAAGUCGAAUCUCUAUCACUAGAGACACAUCCAAGAACCAGUUCUUCCUGCAGUUGAACUCUGUGACUAAAGAGGACACAGCAACAUAUUACUGUGCAAGAAACACAGUAUGA